UACAGAGGGGGCAAGCGUUGUUCGGAUUUACUGGGCGUAAAGGGCGCGUAGGCGGCUUUGUAAGUUACUUGUGAAAUCUCUUAGCUUAACUCAGAACGGUCAAGUAAUACUGCAGAGCUUGAGUGCAGAAGGGGCAACUGGAAUUCUUGGUGUAGCGGUGAAAUGCGUAGAUAUCAAGAGGAACACCUGAGGCGAAGGCGGGUUGCUGUGCUGACACUGACGCUGAGGCGCGAAAGCUAGGGGAGCAAACAGG
rnacentral:rRNA from 1 species